rnacentral:rRNA from 1 species
GACGAACGCUGGCGGCGUGCCUAAUACAUGCCAGUAGAACGCACAGUUUAUACCGUAGCUUGCUACACCAUAGACUGUGAGUUGCGAACGGGUGAGUAACGCGUAGGUAACCUGCCUGGUAGCGGGGGAUAACUAUUGGAAACGAUAGCUAAUACCGCAUAAUAUUGAUUAUUGCAUGAUAAUUAAUUGAAAGGUGCAAUUGCACCACUACCAGAUGGACCUGCGUUGUAUUAGCUAGUAGGUGAGGUAACGGCUCACCUAGGCGACGAUACAUAGCCGACCUGAGAGGGUGAUCGGCCACACUGGGACUGAGACACGGCCCAGACUCCUACGGGAGGCAGCAGUAGGGAAUCUUCGGCAAUGGACGAAAGUCUGACCGAGCAACGCCGCGUGAGUGAAGAAGGUUUUCGGAUCGUAAAGCUCUGUUGUAAGAGAAGAACGGGUGUGAGAGUGGAAAGUUCACACUGUGACGGUAUCUUACCAGAAAGGGACGGCUAACUACGU